CCUACGGGUGGCAGCAGUAGGGAAUAUUGCUCAAUGGGGGAAACCCUGAAGCAGCAACGCCGCGUGGAGGAAUAAGGCUUUCGGGUUGUAAACUUCUUUUCUCAGGGACGCAGCAAGUGACGGUACCUGAGGAAUAAGCCACGGCUAACUACGUGCCAGCAGCCGCGGUAAUACGUAGGUGGCAAGCGUUAUCCGGAUUUACUGGGUGUAAAGGGCGUGUAGGCGGGAAAGCAAGUCAGAUGUGAAAACCAUGGGCUCAACCUGUGGCCUGCAUUUGACAAUGGUAUUAUUGAGUACUGGAGAGGCAGACGGAAUUCCUAGUGUAGCGGUGAAAUGCGUAGAUAUUAGGAGGAACACCAGUGGCGAAGGCGGUCUGCUGGACAGCAACUGACGCUGAGGCGCGAAGGCGUGGGGAGCAAACAGGAUUAGAUACCCCUGUAGUC
rnacentral:rRNA from 1 species